ACUAACUCAGAUAUUGGGGUACUGUUUGGUGGGACACUAACUCGACUAUUGGGGUACUGUUUGGUGGGACACUAACUCGACUAUUGGGGUACUGUUUGGUGGGACACUAACUCGACUAUUGGGGUACUGUUUGGUGGGACACUAACUCAGAUAUUGGGGUACUGUUUAGUGGGAAUCUAACCUGUUGGGAACUGCUACUGUCCUCUCGGGGUUAAAGGUCAUCCUGAUAUUAUUAUUUUGUACCUGAUAUUGUUAAUUGAUUAAUGUACAGAUGUCUGAUUUGAAUAUGUUAUACAUAUCUGAGCACAUUUACAUAUUGUACAAUAUUGUAGAUGGUCUCCUUUUCGUUAAUGUUACAGUGUGAUAUUAUGCAUUGCUGGUUAAAAAAUUAAAAAACAAAAAACAAA